rnacentral:rRNA from 1 species
GACGAACGCUGGCGGCGUGCUUAACACAUGCAAGUCGAACGGAAAGGCCUCUUUCGGGGGGUACUCGAGUGGCGAACGGGUGAGUAACACGUGAGUAACCUGCCCUUGACUUUGGGAUAACUUCAGGAAACUGGGGCUAAUACCGGAUAGGAGCUCCUGCUGCAUGGUGGGGGUUGGAAAGUUUCGGCGGUUGGGGAUGGACUCGCGGCUUAUCAGCUUGUUGGUGGGGUAGUGGCUUACCAAGGCUUUGACGGGUAGCCGGCCUGAGAGGGUGACCGGCCACAUUGGGACUGAGAUACGGCCCAGACUCCUACGGGAGGCAGCAGUGGGAAUAUUGCACAAUGGGUGGAAGCCUGAUGCAGCAACGCCGUGUGCGGGAUGACGGCCUUCGGGUUGUAAACCGCUUUCGCUCAUGACGAAGCUUUGUGUGACGGUAGUGGGUAAAGAAGCACCGGCUAACUACGUG